ACAAAGGGAAACUUUUGCUAAAACCGGAUGAAUAAAUAGGAGGCAUCUCCUAAUUAUAAAAGCACCUAAGGGUGUGGACAUGGAUGGACCUGCGGCGUAUUAGCCAGUUGGCGGGGUAACGGCCCACCAAAGCGAUGAUACGUAGCCGGCCUGAGAGGGUAAACGGCCACACUGGGACUGAGACACGGCCCAGACUCCUACGGGAGGCAGCAGUAGGGAAUUUUCGUCAAUGGGGGGAACCCUGAACGAGCAAUGCCGCGUGAGUGAAGAAGGCCUUCGGGUCGUAAAGCUCUGUUGUAAGAGAAAAACGGUCAUUAUAGGGAAUGAUAAUGAAGUGAUGGUAUCUUACCAGAAAGCCACGGCUAACUACGUGCCAGCAGCCGCGGUAAUACAUAGGUGGCAAACGUUAUCCGGAAUGAUUGGGCCUAAA
rnacentral:rRNA from 1 species